GGACGUUUAAUGUUGUUAAAAUUUUAUUGAUAUGAUGGGGAAAUCACGCAACAAAACACGUAUACAAAAGGAUUGUUUGAUGAGGAUUUAUCUUUUGUUAGGUGUGCAUGUAUGAUGUAUGUGUUUGUGCAAUUCAUGUAUUUGACUGAGUGUAUGCUUGUGUGCACAUUUUUUAUUGUAGUGUUUCUAUAUUAUUCUGUUGAGAUAGA
rnacentral:misc_RNA from 1 species